AGUGAACGCUGGCGGUAGGCCUAACACAUGCAAGUCGAACGGCAGCACAGUAAGAGCUUGCUCUUACGGGUGGCGAGUGGCGGACGGGUGAGGAAUACAUCGGAAUCUACUUUUUCGUGGGGGAUAACGUAGGGAAACUUACGCUAAUACCGCAUACGACCUACGGGUGAAAGCAGGGGAUCUUCGGACCUUGCGCGAUUGAAUGAGCCGAUGUCGGAUUAGCUAGUUGGCGGGGUAAAGGCCCACCAAGGCGACGAUCCGUAGCUGGUCUGAGAGGAUGAUCAGCCACACUGGAACUGAGAAACGGUCCAGACUCCUAAGGGAAGCAGCAGUGGGGAAUAUUUGACCAAGGGCGGAAGCCUGAUCCAGCCAUACCGCGUGGGUGAAGGAGGCCUUCGGGUUGGAAAACCCUUUUGUUGGGAAAGAAAAGCAGCAGGUUAAAACCCCGCUGUUCUGAAGGUACCCAAAAGAUAAGCAACGGCUAACUUCGUG
rnacentral:rRNA from 1 species